UGGGGAAUAUUGGACAAUGGGGGCAACCCUGAUCCAGCAAUGCCGCGUGUGUGAAGAAGGCCUUCGGGUUGUAAAGCACUUUUAUCGGGAACGAAACAUUGUCGGUUAAUACCCGGCAAGACUGACGGUACCCGAGGAAUAAGCACCGGCUAACUCCGUGCCAGCAGCCGCGGUAAUACGGAGGGUGCAAGCGUUAAUCGGAAUUACUGGGCGUAAAGCGUGCGCAGGCGGUCUGUUAAGUCUGCUGUGAAAUCCCCGAGCUCAACUUGGGAAUUGCAGUGGAUACUGGCAGGCUGGAGUACGGUAGAGGAAGGUGGAAUUCCCGGUGUAGCAGUGAAAUGCGUAGAGAUCGGGAGGAACACCAGUGGCGAAGGCGGCCUUCUGGACCAGUACUGACGCUCAUGCACGAAAGCGUGGGGAGCAAACA
rnacentral:rRNA from 1 species